UACAUCAUCAACCAGAAGGAAUUACUUCUGGUUGAUGAAGUACAACAAUCCCAUUAACCAGAAGGAAUCCCUUCCGGUUGAUGAGGUA
rnacentral:miRNA from 1 species